rnacentral:rRNA from 1 species
UUAGAUACCCUAUUAGUCUUUAAGAUGUUUGGUAGUAAGUGGUUUUCAUGAAACUAAAGUAAAUUGGCGGCUUUUUAAAACUUUUAGAGAAACUUAUCCUGUAAAGGAUUUGGCCCCAAAAUCUUACUUUUUUUAGAAAUUUCAGCUCGUAUACCUCUAUUUUAUUAUUUGUGAAAAAUAAUAAUAAAGCUUGAUUAAAGAGUAUUUUUAGGGAAAAGUGCGGCUUAUAAAAAAGAAUGAGAUAAGUUUUAUUAAUUAGUAUUUAUCGAUGUUUAAUUUGUAAUUGUUAAAAGAAUUAGAAUUUAAAAGUAAGAUUGAUUUAUUUUGUCGAUCUGAAUGUAAAUUUAUGAGUGUACAUAUUGCCCGUCACUCUCUUAUAA